rnacentral:snoRNA from 2 species
UUUGGGAAGUGAUGAACAAUUCAUUUUUAUUUCAGAUAUCCUUCUAUGGAUUUAUGUAUAUGAUGAAAAAUUGCACGUCAGUCUGAUCCCAUA